rnacentral:rRNA from 1 species
UACAGAGGUCCCGAGCGUUGUUCGGAUUCAUUGGGCGUAAAGGGUGCGUAGGCGGCGGGGCAAGUCUGAUGUGAAAUCCCGGGGCUCAACCCCGGAACUGCAUUGGAUACUGCCUUGCUCGAGUACUGGAGAGGGAACUGGAAUUUACGGUGUAGCAGUGAAAUGUGUAGAGAUCGUAAGGAAGGCCAGUGGCGAAGGCGAGUUCCUGGACAGUUACUGACGCUGAGGCACGAAGGCCAGGGGAGCAAACGGG